rnacentral:hammerhead_ribozyme from 1 species
AUCUAAAUGACGAGUCCCAAAUAGGAGGAAACGCGUGUCCUGAAU